GGAACGAUGGGUGGCGCACGAAGCCGCCUUGUGUAGAUGCCGGGAGAUGGUGGGGGGCAGCGGUUCUGGAGUGGGUCGCGGUGGUGUUGCGCUGCGACGAAGGCGGCUGGGCUGGUGCUGUGGUGGUCGGACAGGUGGUGCGGCCGGAAGAGGGAGUUCAGCGGCGGAUUGAAGCUAGGGCACGGCGGCGGCAAGGAGCCGCUGUUGUCGUCGGAGUAUGGAGAGCAGAGGGGGCUUUGGGCUGCGCUCGGAGGUGGCGGCCUUCCCACCGUGCGGUUGACGGGAAUCGACAGGGAGGUGGCUGUAGAUUAU
rnacentral:lncRNA from 1 species